rnacentral:rRNA from 1 species
AUUGAACGCUGGCGGCAUGCUUUACACAUGCAAGUCGAACGGCAGCGGGGGCUUCGGUCCGCCGGCGAGUGGCGAACGGGUGAGUAAUGCAUCGGAACGUGCCCAGUCGUGGGGGAUAACACAUCGAAAGAUGUGCUAAUACCGCAUACGUCCUGAGGGAGAAAGCGGGGGAUCUUCGGACCUCGCGCGAUUGGAGCGGCCGAUGUCGGAUUAGCUAGUUGGUGGGUAAAGCCCACCAAGGCGACGAUCCGUAGCGGGUCUGAGAGGAUGAUCCGCCACACUGGGACUGAGACACGGCCCAGACUCCUACGGGAGGCAGCAGUGGGGAAUAUUGGACAAUGGGCGCAAGCCUGAUCCAGCCAUGCCGCGUGAGUGAUGAAGGCCCUAGGGUUGUAAAGCUCUUUCACCGGUGAAGAUAAUGACGGUAACCGGAGAAGAAGCCCGGCUAACUUCGUG